rnacentral:rRNA from 1 species
GAUGAACGCUGGCGGCGUGCCUAAUACAUGCAAGUCGAGCGAACAGACGAGGAGCUUGCUCCUCUGACGUUAGCGGCGGACGGGUGAGUAACACGUGGAUAACCUACCUAUAAGACUGGGAUAACUUCGGGAAACCGGAGCUAAUACCGGAUAAUAUAUUGAACCGUAUGGUUCAAUAGUGAAAGACGGUUUUGCUGUCACUUAUAGAUGGAUCCGCGCCGCAUUAGCUAGUUGGUAAGGUAACGGCUUACCAAGGCAACGAUGCGUAGCCGACCUGAGAGGGUGGUCGGCCACCCUGGAACUGAGACACGGUCCAGACUCCUACGGGAGGCAGCAGUAGGGAAUCUUCCGCAAUGGGCGAAAGCCUGACGGAGCAACGCCGCGUGAGUGAUGAAGGUCUUCGGAUCGUAAAACUCUGUUAUUAGGGAAGAACAAAUGUGUAAGUAACUAUGCACGUCUUGACGGUACCUAAUCAGAAAGCCACGGCUAACUACGUG